rnacentral:rRNA from 1 species
GAGGCCCUACGGGAGGCAGCAGUGAGGAAUAUUGGUCAAUGGCCGAGAGGCUGAACCAGCCAAGUCGCGUGAGGGAUGACGGCCCUAUGGGUUGUAAACCUCUUUUGUCGGAGAACAAAACCCGGGACGUGUCCCGGACUGCGUGUAUCCGAAGAAAAAGCAUCGGCUAACUCCGUGCCAGCAGCCGCGGUAAUACGGAGGAUGCGAGCGUUAUCCGGAUUUAUUGGGUUUAAAGGGUGCGUAGGCGGUCCGUUAAGUCAGCGGUAAAAUUGCGGGGCUCAACCCCGUCGAGCCGUUGAAACUGG